rnacentral:rRNA from 1 species
CGGACGGGUGAGUAACGCGUGGAAACCUGCCGUAUACUGGGGGAUAACACUUAGAAAUAGGUGCUAAUACCGCAUAAGCGCACAGCUUCGCAUGAAGCGGUGUGAAAACUCUGGUGGUACACGAUGGUUCCGCGUCUGAUUAGCUAGUUGGUGGGGGUAAUGGCCUACCAAGGCAACGAUCAGUAGCCGGCCUGAGAGGGUGAACGGCACAUUGGGACUGAGACACGGCCCAAACUCCUACGGAAGGCAGCAG